rnacentral:tRNA from 1 species
UCCGGUGUAGCUCAGCGGGUAGAGCGUCGGACUGUUAAUCCGAAUGUCACUGGUUCGAGCCCAGUCUCCGGAG